AAAAGGAAGAAUACACACGGACAUUGUGCCUAUUUUUGUGGCUUUUCCAGCAGAGAGCUGCUUGCUUCCAGAUUGCCUUGGAGUAGCCUGGUUUAAGCUGCUCUCCAUUCUGACAGCUACUGUCUGCACCGCAGGCUCUGCAGCUGGCGGCCAGCUGGACAAUUUGGGGAGCCCGGCCCUGCCCUCGCCUGGAUGGGAACCAUGAGGAGCGCACGCAGCGAGGUUCCAGCAGCCUCGUGCCUUCUCACCCAGAGCCUGGCCACACGAGCAGGGGAUCCCAGCAGCUCUCGGCACCCUGCGGGGCUCCCAGUGGGCUCCCAGUGCCCACUGGAGGGUGCUCUCUGCCAAGCUUUGCCUCUCUGCUCCUGCUCGCUAAUUGGCAGAGCAGUGCCUCCGAGCACGUCUUCUACAACCACUUGAUGCCAUUCCCUAACACAUUAGGAUGCAGAGUAGCCCACGCACAGGAUACUCGGUCCUAAUCCUUGUAGUAGCUCUUUUUAAGUUAUCCCAGAGACUGUCUGGUGCUGUGAAGCCGGGCUUUGCACUAGCCGAAACUUUGCUCUCUGGUGUGCUACAGUAUUUGUUUGUGGAAGUAGCUACGCAGCUACAGAGGCUUCACCCAGUUCCCUGGCUUGAUUAGGUUUCUCUGAGAUGCUUACAGGCUUUUCUGGAUUCAAUUAACUCCCCCGCGUGUCAUCGACAAACUGGGCUCUGUUUUCCAGCUCCUUCUUUCCAGAUCGCUGUUGAAAACAUUAACAUAUGCAGCGAUGAGACCCGCUCAUGAAAAAUUGGAAAUUAAGUCCCCUUGGUUUUCUGUCUCUGACUUUAUUUUUAUUUUUUUCCCUGUAAUGUCAUUUUUCUCCUGCCCGCUUGUGCUGCACCUCGCAGGUAUCCCGGCUGGUCCGAACGAGCCGUACCUCCCGUUAGAAGUCGGAACACCACCGGGGACGUUUUGGAGAGACUGACGAAUUUCCCUUCCUGGAGUCCGUGUCAUCCCAUCUGUGCUCUGUUGGUCUAUUUUUAAUCACAGCUUAAAAACAUUUUCCAGGAACAAAUGCAAAGCUUACUGGCCUGCGCUCCCUCAGGCCCCUGGAGGCGGCUCAGCUCCAGGUACCCGACUCGCUGCCAGGCGGAGCAGGGGCUGCGUGACAGUGGAAGCAGAUCAGCAAAAAGUCUCCCCCCCUCCUUUUGUCAUAUUAUCACACCUCAUGGGGUCAGUGUGGGGCUCUCAAGUGGUUUUCAUGAUCAACGGGGGUGGUAAUAUGCUAACAAGAAUCGCUGUAAUUGUUCAGCUCCCGACAGCCGGUGCGUUGAGCCCUGUGCCUCGCGCCCACACACCCCACCUUGGGUGAACUUAUGCGCAUUCCCUUCUGCACUUUGGCCAGGCUUCCUCCUGGUGCAGCCCUCUAGGGACCCAUAUUUGCCCUUUCUUCCAUCUGUGUCGAUCCUUUCAUAUUUCCAAAGCCUGGGAGGACACCAUCACAUCCCCAUCAGCACACAGAGCCCACACUGGAGCUGCUGGGCUGGCUCCUGGCCCCAGGUCCCACAGAGGAGCCAUUUCCUAGGGGUCCUCUUGUCCCGUUCCCAGCAGGAAGGGAAAAUUUGUGUGGCUCCAGCAGGGAUACGGGGAAUUUCUCUCACCUGUCUUAACAAGGGGGCAGAAGGCUGCCCAUAAGAGUGAAACUCAUCCCGUGCAAAACGCAGUUGUGCCUGGGCAACGUCCCACCACUCGCGCAAUCUUUCUUAGUAUCAAGCUGUUAAUUAAAAACUUUGCAGAGCUCGACUAUAUUUCUUUCCCUCUAUUUUGCAGAAUGCUGCUGUUUAAUCUUCGGGGACACAGAGCUCAUUAUUUAGUGUGCUGGCAAUGAUGAGUAAGUGCUUAAAUAAACUAGCACAAAAUAAUAAUUAUCUGACGAAACCCACAGGCAAAAUUCAAUCUGCAGGGCAAAGGAGCACGGCUCUUCUAAUAGACGCACCGCAGGUAUUUGCAUCUGUUCAGAAACGAUACUUUGAAGCUGCGUGAAUACCUGGGAUUUUUAAAUGAGUCCCAGCACGUGGGUCACUUGGGCAGAGCCAGCGUGGAUGCAUCUUGCUGCACGCUCGGAAUCACUUACCCUUUUCCUUGGCUGGAACAGGAGGCUCCAGGCGCGCUGGCAGUCGUGGCAUUUUCAGCUGCAAUGUUCUCAGUUUGCUCUAUUUCAUCCUCAAGAUAACGUACUGGCACAAUUGAAAGGAGAUUUACUUGUGCCAACAGAUUUUGAAGAUCUCUACCAGUUUAGAAGAUGGCAUGGCAGCAGCACUGGAGGGGACACACAGCCUCAAGGGCUGGGAGAACCUGGGCAGAUCUAUUCCUGGGAUCAGGGACAGCACAUUGGUGAGCCCAGCUCAGGGCUCCCACAACCCAAAGACCAAAACAAGGGCUGUCACAGCAGUAUUUAGAGAGAGAAUUUGAUUAAAUUAUAACUAGCACCUGGUGGAGGCUUUAGCAUCUACACCAGGUGCUGUUAAAGAAGAAGACAGCUGGGAAGGGGUCACAUCAUGGGGUGUGUUCUGCCUUUGGUGCUUCUCUGGUGCCUUUGCCUCUUCUGGAGUGGUACUGCCUGUGACAUUUGGGAUGUUUCUCCAUGGGUGACACAGGAGCACUUCUGAAUAUCACAAUCCCACAGUCUCAACCUCAACGCUCGCCCAGCCACAAACCUAAUAAAUAUCAUGAUCAUUUACUCUCAACCUUUUUUUCUUUUCCUCUUUUUUUUUUUUUUUAAUCUUUUCCUGAGCUCUGACUCAAAAGCCAACCCACGCUUUAAAAUAACUUUGCUUCUGUUUUCCUAACCGCCUAAGCGAGCUGAAGGCAAACCAUGGAACAGCUGCUGGCACCGACCUUCACCCUGUUCCCAGCACUCAGCUUUUCCCUGAGCAGCCAGCGCCCACCUGCAGCCUGCUUCUGCAGCUUAGCCCCACGUCCCCCUUCCAACUUCUGCUCUUGUUUGCCCUAGCACUGCUGGCACUUUCCUGGAGCAGGCUUUGCUAAGAGCGUGUGCGAAAGCUCCUGCUCCAAAUGCCCUGAGAUUUUAGUGCACAAACACUGGGCUGUGAAGGGAUGAGGGUGCCCGUUUGUCACAGGGCUGCGUUCCUCCUGGAGGAGCCCUCCCCAUCUCCCCCAGGGUUUGGCAGGGCUCGUCACACCGCAGGCUGCCUCAGCAGCUCCGUCCCUGCCAUUAGCAUGCGGUGGCGAGAGGAGUGUCACGCCAGGUGAUCCAUCACUGUCACUUCCCAUUACGAUAAUAAAUGUCUCCCGCUUCCUAAUUUGCUGUCCUGGUCCUGCCAGCCGUGGCUGCGUUCCCUGCACAUCUUAAACGCGCGGAGAACGUUGUCAUUACUGCCCGUGUCAUUUGCUAAGUGUCUCUCAGCUAGUUAAAUAAAUGUUGGUGAGAACUUACCCACAUCACAAUGUGCUGCUGGGUGCUCGGGGAGCACGCUCUCCUCCUGCCUUUGCUGUCUGGCUCCUCUCCUGGAGCGUGUGGAGAGGCGAGGGUGGAGGUCGGUGUCUGCGCACGCACUCGGUGCCCUGUUCCCCAAAUAAGUGCCAAACUGGGAGGGCAGGGACCCAACACAGUGGAGACGCAGGGCCAGCUGCCCCCCAAGCCCGGUGCUGAGCCCUACCCAAAGCACACCCCCUGCACUUCGGAUCCAUCUCAGAGGUGAAAGCCCUCUUCCUGCUCCUGCCUCCCAGGCCCCUUAACCAUCCUUCUAGUUUCCAAACCUUUUCCCUAGCAGCACGUCAGACAAGCUGUUCUGUCGCUAACAUGUGCUGCUAAGGUCACAUACGGCUGCUUGUGCUUUAGCUGUUUUACUCAUGAGCAGAAAACUCUGGGACCUGGGCCACGAGCUAGAGCCAAAUCAAUGAGAGCUGUUGUUGGCUUGCGUUUGCUGAAGAAGAAGUGGGAUCAUGCAGAAAACAAGGCAGAGUGGAGAGCUCUUGCAUCGGGGCACCCGGCGUUUGACUCCACGCCAGCAAGGCUUCCCAUGGGAAACGUCUGAGCAAGACACGAGAGGCCAAGGAGACGUGGGAGCCCUGCGACGGGAGGCAUUCAAUCUGCUCUGCUCGGAGCUUUUGUGCUUCUUUCAUCUGCGUCAGAGUUUCGGCAGCAGCUGAGCUUUCCCAGAGAGGCGCGGAGCUGUGCUGCAGCGAGUGGCGGGGUGGGGAACUCUGCGGAAGAAACGUGGGACGAUGCACAGAUCAUCCCUACGGUCACAGACACACAGAAUCACAGAACAGCCCGGGAUGGAAGAGACCUCACGAGGUCGUAAGGUCCAACCUGUUGUGGGGAAAGGGAGCCUCGACAGGAGGCACCCUGAACGGUUGCAUCUUGAAAGUCUCCAGCGAUGGGGGCUCCAGCACACUCCUGGGGAGGCUGUGCCAGUGAUUGAUCAUUCUCACUGUCAUUUUUUUUUCCCCUGGGAGGAGUGCAUGGGUGAGAAACCGAGGUGCCAAACCUCUCUGUUACUGAUGAGUUACUUGGUGCCGCUGCAGAAGGCCAGCAACAGGUCAGGACUGCCGGUGGCAGCUCAACCAGUGCCUCCUUCAGGAAGAUGGGUGUUUGAUAAUCUGUUAAUUGAGUUUGUUGAUUAUUCAGCAGUUCUGGAUGGGCUUGAAAAUGAGCUUCUUCAUGGGUACACCUCACCUGGCUGGAAUAACCGAUUUGGUAUUCAUUAAUACAUACCUUACAUUUCAUCCUUUCCCUCAGAGGGGGCUUUGACUUUGAUCCAAAGCUGCUGAAUUGUGGCCAGCAACCUGCAGGCGGCUUUCCUUCAGCUCCUGGGCCAGCUGGAGUCCCAGCGGGCAGAGUUCAGGCUGUGCAGUGCUCAACAUUAAACACAAAAACACAGCUUGAGACACCUACAGCCACAAACCCCAGCUGCUGCGAGCCGUGAUCCCGUGUGCCCAGACCACCCGAGGGUCCAGCACACACCAUGGCACGGGGAGCAGCAGAGCAGAGCAGGAUGCCUCAAAUUUCUACGUGUGACCAAUUUCUCAUAGCUUGUCCAAGCUCUGCUUUACUUCGGCAUGUUCCUAAUGCAGUGUUUGCAUGCACAACUUGCCUCUUUCAGGCAGAGGGCAGUGAAGUUGCCUUCAGAUAAACAUUUUCUUAGUAUUUCCCUGAUUUUCAGAGGUUUAAGCAUGGUCAGCUCCUAAUUUUCAAAACUGAGCUUUGCUGAACUUCCCAUCCUAGAAGGACUCAAGGCACCAGCAGCGAUGUGGGUUUCUCCCCUGUGGUGCUGGUGCAUGAAUGAGGAUGCUUUCGUUCCCCUCGCCGUCCUUUGAAUUUGUGAGCAAAUAAGGAAAAUACUGCAUGAAAAUAGCUCCAUGGACAGCGGGAAAAGACGCACCGCCAGGUGUCACUGUCCUGGACGGUACCUGGAGGAUGGAGCUGAGGACACGUCCAUCAGGGGACAGCAAGCCCUGCGCCUCGAGACCCUGCUUUGAACGGUCAACACGAAGCUGUGAUCUUCCCAAACCAAGCGGGAUCCGUCUCCAUCACCUCUUUGCCCCAUCUUCCCUAGAUGGACUCAGACAGCGAUGGGAAAACAUCAUUUUAUCCUCAGUGCGGGGUUUAGAGCAAGGUCCCUCUCUGCUGAAGUUUGGCUUUGUAUUUAUAUUCAGCGGCUUUAGCCCUCUUCUAAUCUAAACUUUUAAUGUAUUGGUGCAACUAUAAAUGGCUGAGCAGCAGCCAUAUACAAUGCAGCAAUAUGUUUAAUUAGAUACGGGCUACUUUAUAUGCAACAUUUAUUUUAAAGACAUAUUAAAUUACCAGCAUAUUUUCUUC